rnacentral:tRNA from 1 species
CAUUAAGUGACUGAAAGAAAGUAAUGGUCUCUUAAACCAAUUUAUAGUAAAACCGAAUACUCUUAAUGA